rnacentral:rRNA from 1 species
GAUGAACGCUAGCGGCAGGCUUAAUACAUGCAAGUCGAGGGGUAGCAAGAUUGUAGCAAUACAAUUGUUGACGACCGGCAAACGGGUGCGGAACACGUACACAACCUUCCUACCAGUGGGGAAUAGCCCAGAGAAAUUUGGAUUAAUACCCCGUAACAUAGCGAUGUGGCAUCACAUUGCUAUUAUAGCUUCGGCGCUUGUUGAUGGGUGUGCGGCUGAUUAGAUAGUUGGCGGGGUAACGGCCCACCAAGUCUACGAUCAGUAGCUGAUGUGAGAGCAUGAUCAGCCACCCGGGCACUGCGAGACGGGCCCGACUCCUACGAGAGGCAGCAGUAAGGAAUAUUGGACAAUGGACGCAAGUCUGAUCCAGCCAUGCCGCGUGAAGGAUUAAGGUCCUCUGGAUUGUAAACUUCUUUUAUAAGGGACGAAAAAAGGUCUUUCUAGAUCGUCUGACGGUACCUUAUGAAUAAGCACCGGCUAACUCCGUGCCAGCCGCCGCAGUAAUAC